rnacentral:siRNA from 1 species
UGUUGAGGUUCAGACUGUG